GACGAACGCUGGCGGCGUGCUUAACACAUGCAAGUCGAACGAUGAAGCCGGAGCUUGCUCUGGUGAAUUAGUGGCGAACGGGUGAGUAACACGUGAGUAACCUGCCCUUGACUCUGUGAUAACUGCGGGAAACUGUAGCUAAUACCGGAUACGACCCUCGGCGGCAUCGCCAGGGGGUGGAAAGAAUUUCGGUCAAGGAUGGACUCGCGGCCUAUCAGCUAGUUGGUGAGGUAACGGCUCACCAAGGCGACGACGGGUAGCCGGCCUGAGAGGGGGACCGGCCGCACUGGGACUGAGACACGGCCCAGACGCCUACGGGAGGCAGCAGUGGGGAAUAUUGCACAAUGGGCGGAAGCCGGAUGCAGCAACGCCGCGUGAGGGAUGACGGCCUUCGGGUUGUAAACCUCUUUUAGCAGGGAAGAAGCGAAAAUGACGGUACCUGCAGAAAAAGCACCGGCUAACUACGUGCCAGCCGCCGCGGUAA
rnacentral:rRNA from 1 species